AGCCAAUUCACCAGAGUGGCACAAUUAAAAUCUUUGGGCCAAAUCCUCCUUGUUCUCUUCAUGUAUGCAACGCUUUUGAGAGUAAAGGGAUGAGUGAGAGCAGCGUUUAAGCUGUACAUUAAUAAUGUAUGUCCUUCGGAUGGCAGGGAAGGGGCUGGCAGAACAAAUGGAAGCACCCUGGGAGAUGAAACUGUCCACGGCCAGAAUUGUUCUAUCUGGCUCUCACAUGCCGGGAGCAUUCAUCAUGACCUGCAGCAUCCACUCCUCCCUGGUGGUCCCCUCUGGAGCUGCCCUGACACAUUUGAAAGCACUUUACAAAUAACAGUGAUCUUUCACUGAUGCACGGUAUGCCAAGAACAAGAUCAGCUCAGGAAGAUGGACAAAGAACCACUGCUGCUCUCCUGCUCAGCACAUGCAAUAGGGAAGAAACAAGAACGACCCCUUCAAUGACUGCUUUUCUUCGUGUACCUUACAGCUUUCUCCAGCUUAUGAUGGGAUCUCUGGUUGCAGUGCUGUGUGUCAGCCAGGGUUAUCCUGUGGGGCUGUUUGCCACCCACGUGCGCUUCCUGUGGAAGCAGCAAUCAGUCGAGGUGAAGGAGCAGAAGGUUGCAGUGCUGGGGCAGCAGCUCCAAAGCAAAGCGACGGACUCCUGGAGAGAAAUCAGCUCUUCCAGAACGUGAUUCUUCUUGUCCUUCUGCAGAUGUCUCAAAAUCAGGUAAAAAAAUGAGCCGCCUUCUCUCUGGCUACAGAGGGAGCCCAGCUGGCUAUCUGAGACAAGAGAGGUGGUAAGCACUGAAGUGAGGUGAAAUUAAUCCCUUUGCAUCUUUAGAAGUGAGG
ensembl:lncRNA